rnacentral:snRNA from 1 species
AUACUUAACUAAAUAGGUGGUUUUCUCAGGGUGAGGCUCCUCUGUUGCACUGUGGUUGUGCUGACUCCUGUAAUUUCCCCAAAUGGUGAAAGCUUGACUGUACAAUUUCUGGCAGUGGGGUGACUACAUUCAUGCUUUUCUUUG